rnacentral:lncRNA from 1 species
AGGCAAAAACAGCUUUUAUUCAGUAACUGCAGUAGGGAAAGAGCUGAGCUCCAUUCCGAUUUGCGCAGAGGUGACGGGGUUUUAGAGGGAAAAUGAAGGAAGGGGUUCAGUAGAGUCAGGAAAGCGCAAAAUUACCUAGGUUUGGGCAGUGUCCGUGCACUUAGGCGAGCUGUGUCAUCUUGUGGAAGUGAGGAUUCACUUUUCCCACAGACUGGGAGACCCCAGGCCCUGCCUUUUCUGAUAAUUACACUUUAAAAGGAUGGCUUUCAGAUCUUUGAGAAAGACAUUCCUGAGUUGUGGGGGGUACACAUAUAUCUCAAAGGGACAGAGGAAGAAUUAACAAACAAUUGUAAACCCUUUUUAGUAACUACUCUAAAAAAGAGAGGUCAGGGCCUUAUAUUCAGGUGUUGGCUAGAACAAACAAUAAAUGCCUUUUGACAGCCCUGAGCUUUCCCAGCCUGAGCUCAAAAUGGGACUGGGUCCGAAUUUCCAUUGUGGCUCAGCGGUAAUGAACCCGACUGGGAUCCAUGAGGACUCAGGUUCCGUCGCUGGCCCAGCUCAGUGGGUUAAGGAUGCAUUUCCGGGAGCUGGGGUGUAGGUCACAGAUUAACCUCAGUCCCGCAUUGCUGUGGCUGUAGUGCAGCUGCAGCUCCCAUUCCACCCCCAGCCUGGGAACUUCCAUAUGCUGUAGGUGUGACCCUAAAAGACAAAAAAAGAAAAAAAAAGUUCGGAAGGAGUAUACCUGCCUGGAGUUUUUACAGUUGUCACCAACCCAUUUUCCUUAACACAAAAAGCUAUUUUUUAAUCAUCUCAAUCUGAGAUGUGUUUGAGUUCUUAUAAAUACUGUAUACCUGCAAACAAAUUGCUGGUUCCAAACUGACUUUAGGCUUUAAGGCAGCUUUGGAAAUGAUUUUAGAUGGUGGAGCUUGAGCAGAACUAUUAAAGUAUUCAGCCAUACUCAAUUUUGUAAUUUUUAGUAUUUGCUGUGUUGCCUUAGGUUGUUUUUUGUCUCCAGAGUGAAAAAUGGUGGAAGCCAGAACAUUGUUGGAUAGUUUAAUUUCCUUUCUCCUGAGGGACACUUCACUUCUCCUGAAGUUAAAUAUAAUAACUUCAUUGAAACAAUUGUUAUUUCCAUCCUCUUCCACAGCAUAUUCUUGUUGUGUGUGCUAUUCGAUAAUCUUUUAUACCUUUCACUUGGAGAAAUGGCAAAAUAGUAAAGUAUUAUAAAUUUCUUAAAACAUUUUGUAAGCACUUUAUGUAAAUUCCAUUCACUAAAAGGGAAAUUAAAAAUUCAUUGCAACCAAGUGAUGUUCCCCUAAGUCCCUUAGUAAAGGCAUGAUCUAGUAAAGUCUUCCAAAGAAGACUAGAUUUAGUAUCUUGUCAACCUGGGUUAGUAUCAUUGUUCUGAAAUAAAAUAAAAUCUGGAGUUCCCUUCAUGGCUCAG